rnacentral:lncRNA from 1 species
CUUCAGAACGCAUAUGCAAGAUUUACAAGAAGUAACACAAGAGGUACACUAUGAAAACUUCCGUGCAGAAAGACUUGCUUCAGGUGCUCCUAUGCCAGCUAAAAAACCUAGUUCCCGACGCCGUCAAGUUGAGGAGCCGACAGAGUAUGUGUAUAAAGUUAUUAAUGCAUUAGAUAAAAUACUAGUGGAAUUGUUAGUUUAUUAUAGGCAUGGUCGAUUGGCAGCUCAUACAUGAUAAUGUAAUACACAAAAUAUCACAAUUAAGGACUGUUGAAUAUGUGCAUAUAUAGGUAUACAUUUGUAGUAACAAUGUAUAAGACUGUGGUAACAAACCUUGUAAAUGUCACCAAUGCAUGCAUGAUAAUGGAGACUUGAAAGAUAGGUAGUGGAACCGUGAUUACAUACGUUGAUUUCCAUACAAUUACAUAUCAAUAUAUGCAAAUCUGAAAUUGGGCAUCCUUCGGCCAUAACAGACAAUUGCUUUGUCGUAAUACAUGUAGACUGCUGAUAUUGCAUACAAAGAAUAUGUAAUUGAAUGGGAAAUAACGAUGGUCAUUAUUUGUUCGCUACAUUAAACAAAGGUUACAUUAUUGGUUUAUAAUUACCCUGCUAGUUAAUAUGGUUUUGCGAGUCCUGUUUGUAAAAGAUUUUUUUUUGCUAAUUGUAGACUUAAGAUACCCUAUAGUACUUUAGCUGCUUUUACAUUUGUUAAUAAUCUGUUAUUGAAAUUUUUUGUCAAAUUAAAACCCGAAAAAAGGGGGGGGGGAGAGUGAGGUUGGGGACAUUGCUUAUUAUCUCCUUUACUCAUAAUGGGUACUUGGUGUUUAUGUUGGCGUAAGAUAAGAUUUUGCAAUGAUUGUUCGGUAGUUGGCAAAAAGCUUGUAGUUGUUAGGUUAAAUAGUCCAAAGGAAGACGUAUGUGCAUGAGAAAGGUAUGUUUUAUUAACAGUAUUUUCCCAGGCAAUCAAAACUUGUACCACUAUAACAUUAGGGCAGUGGCAUGUUAAUACAUUAUAGCAUUUACUCAUCAUGGUUUGUGAAGUUAAAUUGUAAAAUUAAGUAAUUUAUGUGUAUGAAAAUGAGACAGCUUGUAUUGUUAAAUUUAACCAAGUUGAAACAGGAAAACAGAUGAUUCUCAUAGAACUUAAAAGUGAAAUUUCCCAAAAUCUCGUGAUUUCAUAUAUGAGGGAAAGAUGCUUUCUUUGCUUGACAAGCAUCUAGAUGUUUGAUAUAUUGAUCACAGUGAUAUGUGAUUUCAUGAGAAAACUACCAGUUUCAGUAUAUUAUUUCUUUGCUUUGAUUUAUGAUAGACUGACAAUUUACUCUGAUAUUACAUUAGUUUUGUAUGGAUAGAUAUUCAGAGGAAAAUGGCUAAACAGAAUCCUAGACCAUUUCAUCUUGUUAUGCUAAUGUAAUGCAUAAUUAAUAAGGGCAUUUGCAAAAUUGCUGAUCAGAAAGUAAACAGAGAAAUGGUAGUUUAUUUAUUUUUGCUUAGAUAUAGUAUAAAAACAUGGCAUCUGACUUCUUUGCUGGAAUAGAAAUUAUGAAAAAUAAGUUUAGGGAAGGAAGAUGUAAAAGAGAAGUUUAGGAAAGGAAGAUGUAAAUGAGAAGUUUAGGAAAGGAGAAUUAA